UACGAAGGGGGCUAGCGUUGCUCGGAAUGACUGGGCGUAAAGGGCGCGUAGGCGGUUUGUACAGUCAGGUGUGAAAUUCCCGGGCUCAACCUGGGGGCUGCACUUGAUACGUAUGGACUGGAGUGGGGAAGAGGGUCGUGGAAUUCCCAGUGUAGAGGUGAAAUUCGUAGAUAUUGGGAAGAACACCGGUGGCGAAGGCGGCCAACUGGACGAAUACUGACGCUGAGACACGAAAGCGUGGGGAGCGAACAGG
rnacentral:rRNA from 1 species